UACGUAGGGCGCAAGCGUUUAUCCGGAAUUAUUGGGCGUAAAGAGCUCGUAGGCGGUUUGUCGCGUCUGCCGUGAAAGUCCGGGCUCAACUCCGGAUCUGCGGUGGGUACGGGCAGACUAGAGUGAUGUAGGGGAGACUGGAAUUCCUGGUGUAGCGGUGAAAUGCGCAGAUAUCAGGAGGAACACCGAUGGCGAAGGCAGGUCUCUGGGCAUUAACUGACGCUGAGGAGCGAAAGCAUGGGGAGCGAACAGG
rnacentral:rRNA from 1 species